UCAGAAGGCAGGGCUGAGGCCAAUCACAACUUCUGCGUCGUUGAAUGACACCGGGAGCCCUGCCUCUAGAACUUUUGUUAUUUUUCCCCUCAGCCUCCUCAAUUGUUCCCAGCACUUGGUCACAGACUCGGACAGGCUACCAGAGACCCACACACAGCUGCUGUCACAUUCCCAAGAGCCUGCAACAGAGACUUCAGGUGGUGACAGCAUCAUGGAGGACUAACAAGUAAGCUCCACAAAGGCUGUCUAAACAAAAAAGAGAAGAUAACAAGCACUUUACACUGUUCCUGACAACUCCUCUCCUUUCCUGCACUUCUAAAACCUCUGAUCUGUGCCCUCUGCUUUCUUGCUGCCAUGGAGAAGGUCCAAUACAUAACCCGCUCUGCUCUGAGGAGAGCCUCAACUAUUGAGGUCAACCCACAAGCACGCCAAAGGCUCCAGGAGCUCUUUGUGAAUUUCUGCCUGAUCUUAAUCUGCCUCUUGCUGAUCUGCAUCAUUGUGAUGCUCCUCUGAAGUUCCAGCACUUCUCUGCACUGUUCUCUAGGAAAGCCACCCAAAGGGAAGAGCGACCUCCACUUCCAACCCCAAUGCAAGGAUCCCCUUGGGAGAGAGGCUAGCACUUGGACUAAGGCUGUGCUGUGUGCCAGCCAUCGCGCUGCUCUUACUGCCUGCCACAUGUAUUAAAAACACACUUCUGUGCUGAACAGUGUCUAAAGCCUGUUGUUACACAGCUGUGCAUGACCUAAUUUAUCUGUUCAGUCAAGAGAUGGCUGUUCUGACUGGUGCAGGGAACUGCCUCUCCAGAGGGCUGAAACUAAGAACAGGUGAACAGCUGAGGACGAUGAAAUUUGUGUGACUCUGCGCUGCUUACCAUCGAGCAUACAGUCCAGAGGGCUGCUGUGAGCACAAGAGGGCAGACCAGCGCACAUUAUGGAUCUUGCUACCAACAGAGGUCUCAACCUGCUGCUCAAUUUCCUGCUCAUAGUCUUGGUUUUAGUGCUCGCAUUCAUCCUUGUGAAGCUGAUGUGAAUCCCUGGGAGGUUCCAGUUCCUUUUCAAAUAUUGUUCAGAGGGUUUGGGGUUCUUUUGCAAUGAUAACGUAAGGAGGUCAAACAAUCUGUCUGACCAGAAAUACACCAAGACCACAUAGAUUGAAAUACCUGACAGAAAAUGUGUUCAGAGGGUUUUAUCAGAAGCGAACCUAAAAGCUACACACAAUUAUGUUGUGCCACUAAGUAAGAAAAGCACUGAGAGCAGAGCCUUGUUGAGUACAGAAGGAAAUCCAUGUACACAUAAGCAGUUACUUUAGCUUUCUAAAUGCUGCAGUCAACUCACAUUUAAAGACCUGCAAAAGAUCAACAUCCUUCAAAAAACAAUUCCAGAUCACCUGUGGAACAUAAAAGCACAGAUGUUGGGGAUAGAAAAGGAAUACCCAUGAACAGUGGUUUGCAGCAACUGAGAUGUGGACUGGUUAAGUUUAAAUCUGAAAAUGUAACUUCUAGGGUUUGAGUUUUUGACACCUGUGGCUCACAACAACACAUUAAAUCCAGAAACCAUUCAUGUUACACAGCAGCAUCAGAAGCAGCUGCUGUUAGAUCUGAAACAAACAAAACAAAAAUCAAAACCAAACAAGGUCCAGUAGCAAGGGUUAUCACAGCCACGAAUCCUUUAGUACUGCUGCAUAUGUGAGCUGUCAGUGCCUCUGCAUAACAGCAACAAGAGUGCUGCAUCCUCAUCAAGUCAGAUUCAGCACUUACGCACAGGUCAAGAGUGCUGCAUGGAGCUCUCAAGCUGUUCAACAAGCCACUUGUUGUAUAUGUGCCACAGCAGCAUAGUUACCCACCCAUACCUCAUCCUCACAUCAAGCCUGCAAUGAAAGCUUCCCAUGGGACCUCCCCCUACAGCCCUUCGCAGGGUGACCUGCUUUCUCCACACUCCCUGCAAAAGACAGUGACCAAGGAGAGCUCCUUUCUACUAGAAUCAUUUGCCCAGCAGGCAGCCCUAGGACACAUACGGAGAGAAGGAGGCCACAAGUAGACUACGAACCACACCACACUGAGGCCAAGAAGUCUGCUCUUUGGCAUCUCUCUUUUCCCCCAACAGACUGGGAACCAAAUGUAACAUACAUGUAUCAUAUUGUAAAUUUAAUGCUACAGAAAUGCAUGCAGGUCUGUUGGUAUGCAAGAUGCAGGUGUUGCCCACAGGUGAGGAAAACCCAAAUCCCAGCUCCCUAAUGACAAAAGAGUUCCCUGCUGUUGAUACCACAGGCAUCCCCUACAUUACAGGGCUGACCUACUCCGGCCCCACAUAGGAUUGCCACGCUCUUAAUGCUGUUGUGGCUGGUUCAGGUGCCCAGAACAGAAGAGACCUACCAGCUGGAUCUACAAAACUCUUACCACAGAAGGCAGACAACACGCUGAGAGAAACAAUGUUCAUACAGGCUCACCAUGACCAGGCACCCAUGUUCCAUGCCACAUUAUCUCCUUUGCAAUGGAGAUACCGUUACGUGGGACAGCACUGAUAAGGAAGUCAAAUGGAAGACUUCUCCUGUGCUUUGAAAUGCAAUAAAAAUUUAAAAUAGCGUCUGCUUCUUUUAAUGUUGAUACAUAAUAUUUGUACUUAAAGCAGAAAACUUCACACAGUAAUAUCACUGUAACCACUUUUUCCACUCAUUUUGAUUAUCUUGAAAAGUUCUGCUUUAAAACCUGUAGACUUAUGUACAUGGGAUAUAUGUUCAGAAGGAUUUCUGCUAUUUCUUGAAACAGACAAGAUGAAAAAAAAAUAAAUGAAUCAAGAUAUUAAGAAAUUGAUACGAAGCCCACUAUUCUGAAGAAGAGUGAAGAUUAGUUUUCAAGCAAAAUGGCUACUUGUUGAUUGCACCCUGAGUAUUUUAUGUCUGCUCUUUGGCAUAAACAAAAGCUUCUUUAUCUUAUGGAAAUCACUGCAACAACUGAACAACAAAAAUGAGCUAAAUGAGCUAGCAGUAAAAAUAAAUAAAUAAAUAAAAAUAGAUUCCUUUCAUUAAAAAGGAUAAAGCUGAGUCUGCUGACUCUACCUAUCACUUACUUCCAGCUCUGAAAUUAUGCUCAAACUGCCAUUAGGAUGUUUCAUGGGGUAGCUACAACACCACGCUUCUUCCCAGACAGCGAUGAAAAUCACAGAACCUUAAAUAAAUGCUGAAAGAUGCUGCUGAAACAUGCAUUCUCCAGGGAUGACGCACAGAAUUGGAAGAGCUUGGCAUUGGAUGACUGAUAGCCUUUUUCUGUAAUCAGGCACGGUCCAAACUUGGUUUACCACCAUCUGCUAGCACUUAGACUGAGCCCACGUAUUCAUUAUGGGUUGAAUCCAUUUGUCAGCCUGUGAACAACCUCACAGCAAAAGAAACAGAGCAUAACAGAAUUAGCUCACUGCUGUGAGCUGUUAACUAUAAGUGGUAAUACUUCAUGUUUGAAAGUUUUACCCUGCUGAAAGGUAUGUUUUCAAAAUUUGACUUGGGAAAAACACUUACAAUUACUUCUUUCCUUCACUUUUCUCACCUGUUAGAAUCAUAAGGAAAAAACCACUUUUGAGUUCACAUUUCAGAAUAAAAUUCAGUGAGAACAGUUAUGAUGUGAAGCAUAUUUGCUUUCAAUUGAACUUUUACAUGUUUGGUGAUGUUUAGAUGAAUGCAUGCACAGUUUUGAACUGAUGAUUAUUGUAGCACCUCUAAUUUCUCACUGCAUUAAAAUUUGAUUUGUAGUAAUAUAUAUGUGGUAUGAACAAGACAGUGUUUUCCUCAUUGAAGAAAAAAGUAAUUGACAUACAUUAAUGGAAGAAGACGCACUUAAGCAACUUCCAUCUUUCAUCUCUGCAAUAUUCUGCUCAAUGUUAGCACACCAAAUCUAAAGGGUACCACAUGAACUGGAAAAUUUUAUAAAUAUAUAUAAAACACCUUAGUUGUAUUGUGCUACAUACAUGAAGCCUUCUGAAACUUCUUUCCUCCUUCAUAUCUCCCACGAUUUUGAAGGCAUACCUCUUGAAACUUCAUUUCUGGACUAAUACACAGUAUCUACCUAAUUGCAUCUGAUGAUAGGAUCAGGCUUUAAGAAAAGCAUUUGCAUGGAAACAUGGAACCUUCAAAUCCAGAUUUACAUGUCCUGUAAGCUCAGUAGAUGGUUUGUUGUAUAUUACAACUGUUUUUUCUUCUUAACAAAGGCGUAAUGGUUAGCCAAUCAUUAACUUUGAGAAUUUAAAAUAAAGAUGUAUUACAACAGUUACCUCUGCUGAAAUACCGAAAGAUCAGCUGAACACUGAAAAAAUGAUUGUGUGAUCAAAUAUAAAUUCUGCAUGAAAGUCA